CCAGAGUUUCUGCAGCAGUAGCACAAGCACAGACCGGUGGGAUCACGUCAUCAUGCAGACCUGGGAUGACCAGCUGUGGGUCCUGAACUUUUGCAUGAAGGCGGCCACAUUUCUGGAGUUUGUAGGCA